rnacentral:rRNA from 1 species
ACGAACGCUGGCGGCGUGCCUAAUACAUGCAAGUCGAGCGGACGGAUGGGAGCUUGCUCCCAGACCGUCAGCGGCGGACGGGUGAGUAACACGUGGGCAACCUGCCUGUAAGACUGGGAUAACUCCGGGAAACCGGGGCUAAUACCGGAUAACUCUUUCCCUCACAUGAGGGAAAGCUGAAAGAUGGCAUCUCGCUAUCACUUACAGAUGGGCCCGCGGCGCAUUAGCUAGUUGGUGAGGUAACGGCUCACCAAGGCGACGAGGCGUAGCCGACCUGAGAGGGUGAUCGGCCACACUGGGACUGAGACACGGCCCAGACUCCUACGGGAGGCAGCAGUAGGGAAUCUUCCGCAAUGGACGAAAGUCUGACGGAGCAACGCCGCGUGAGUGAUGAAGGUUUUCGGAUCGUAAAACUCUGUUGUCAGGGAAGAACAAGUACCGGAGUAACUGCCGGUACCUUGACGGUACCUGACCAGAAAGCCACGGCUAACUACGUG